ACUGCCCCUUGAGGCGUUGCAGCCCAACUGUUAGUGUUGCAGCUGUGUCAUAAGGUGGCAGAGAGAGACUGGUGGUAGUUUACACU
rfam:Oreochromis niloticus linkage group LG5, whole genome shotgun sequence.